CUUUCUCUCUGUCUUCUUCUCAUCUCUCUCUUUCUAUCUCUGUCUUCUUCUCAUCUCUCUCUUUCUAUCUCUCUGUCUUCUUCUCUUUUCUCUCUUUCUAUCUCUCUGUCAUCUCAUCUCUCUUUUUCUAUCUCUCUGUCUCUGUCUUCUUCUCAUCUCUCUCUUUCUGUCUCUGUCUUUGUCUUCUACUCAUCUCUCUCUUUCUGUCUCUCUGUCUUCAUCUCAUCUCUCUUUCUAUCUCUCUGUCUUCUUCUCUUCUCUCUCUUUCUAUCUCUCUGUCAUCUCAUCUCUCUUGUUCUCUCUCUCUGUCUUUGCCUUCUACUCAUCUCUCUCUUUCUGUCUCUCUGUCUUCAUCUCAUCUCUCUUUCUAUCUCUUUGUCUCUGUCUUCUUCUCAUCUCUCUCUUUCUAGCUUUCCAUCUUCUUCUCGUCUCUCUCCUUCUAUCUCUCUAUCAUCUAUCUCUUUCUCUUCUUCUCGUCUCUCUCUUUCUAUCUCCCUGUCUUCUUUUGUCUCUCUCUUUCGCUUCUUAUCAUCUCUCUCUUUCUAUCUUUCUGUCUUCUUCUCAUAUGUCUCUUUCUAUCUCUUUGUCUUCUUCUCUUCUGUCUCGUUCUAUCUCUCUGUCUUCUUCUCAUCUCUCUCUUUCUAUCUCUCUGUCUUCUUCUCAUCUCUCUCUUUCUAUCGCUUUUUCUUCUUCUCAUCUCUCUUUCUAUCUCUCUUUCUUCUUCUCAUCUCUCUUUCUAUUUCUCUGUCUUCUUCUCGUCUCUCUCUUUCUAUCGCUCUGUCUUCUUCUUAUCUCUCUCUCUAUCGCUCUGUCUUCUUCUCAUCUCUCUCUUUCUAUCUCUCUGUCUUCCUCUCAUCUCUCUCUUUCUAUCUCUCUGUCUUCCUCUCAUCUCUCUCUUUCUAUCUAUCUGUCUUCUUCUCAUCUCUCUCUUUCUAUCUCUCUGUCUGUCUUCUACUCAUCUCUCUUGUUCUCUCUCUGUCUGUCUUCUACUCAUCUCUCUCUUUCUGUCUCUGUCUUUGUCUUCUACUCAUCUCUCUCUUUCUGUCUCUGUCUUUG
rnacentral:lncRNA from 1 species